CACGUAGUUGGCCGGUGCUUCUUUACCUGUUACCGUCACUUGCGCUUCGUCACAGGCGAAAGAGGUUUACAACCCGAAGGCCGUCAUCCCUCACGCGGCGUUGCUGGAUCAGGCUUCCGCCCAUUGUCCAAUAUUCCCCACUGCUGCCUCCCGUAGGAGUCUGGGCCGUGUCUCAGUCCCAGUGUGACCGGUCACCCUCUCAGGCCGGCUACCCGUCGAAGCCAUGGUGAGCCAUUACCUCACCAUCAAGCUGAUAGGCCGCGAGCACAUCCCUGGCCGAAAAACUUUCCACCACCAUCACAUGCGUGAAGUGGUCAUAUCCGGUAUUAAUCACCGUUUCCGGUGGCUAUCCCAAAGCCAAGGGCAGAUUACUCACGUGUUACUCACCCGUUCGCCGCUCGAGUACCACCGAAGUGGCCUUUCCGCUCGACUUGCAUGUGUUAAGCACGCCGCCAGCGUUCGUCCUGAGCCAGGAUCAAACUCU
rnacentral:rRNA from 1 species